UUUACUCAAAUUUAGUAGUUCAUCAGAAAAUUAUUUAUAUCUCAUUCAUGUUAACUAAAGUUAUUUAAUAGCAAAGAGCCUCUGAUCCAUUAACUCAAAAUUAUUAAGUUUUAUUUUGUCCGCCUCCCCGUGCGCAUGCGCAUGUGGUUCAACGGUCUCUCCCUUCCUCCAUGUCUCCUUCCCGCACUAUCAGAAGCUGCACGUCGGACUUCGGGUUUGAAAAUAGAACUAAUUCCUGAGUGAUCAUCACUGUUACCAGGAGUUAUCUGUGGCAACCUCCUUGUAAUAGUUGAUGUCUGGACAUGCAAAGCAUGCAGUUUGGAGUCAUCUAGCAGUGUGACGACAUUGACACAAGGAGGAGCGUGUUCCCAAAAGUUUGGCGAUCUACUUGACUGAAGAUCCAGACUCUUUCUUCAAGGAUUUUUACCUCUUCCACUGAAAACGACAUCGCAGAAAGCAUUCCAGCUACGGUCAGCCAUCUCAGAAGAAAUGGGAUUGGAUGUUGCUGUUGGAAUUGAAGGUGUUCAAGACCUCAGGAACACACAUUAGACACAUUAGAAGAACUCCUUUUCUACCAAACUAAAUUGUGGUAAUUGGCUUUGAGGUCUUUUGAAUUCCUACAAAUCCUAAAGUUUUUGCCAUUUCAUUUUCUCCUUUUUUAUUUCCCCUUUUCAAGAUCUGCUUAAACUCUUGUAGAGUGAAA